GUAGUUCAACCAGUGCAAUUGAAAGACACUUUUCUGUUUAAUCGUAUUUAUAAACAGCUUGAAAACAUUUGGUUGGCAGAAAGCAAGAGAGCCGAAUGGAGAGAAUCCGAUAGAAUACAGGAAGAUAGAGAGAUAUACUGUGUUUGCUUGCGUCUGUAUGUGAGGAGGGGGGGCGGGGAGUGACAGGAAUGAGUCAAAGUAAGAAGUUGCGAGGACGACUGACCAGGAGGAUGGAUGGAGGACAGAGGGGGGGUCAGCGUUAGGGUUAGGCUUAGGGUCAUGGUUAGGGUUAGGGGAAAAAAGAGUCAGGGUUAGGGGUUAGGGGUUUUGGGUCAAGAUAAGGGGUUAGGAUUUGGGGUUAGGGUCAGGGUUAGGGUUAAGUUCAGGGUUCAGGGUUUAGGGUUAAGGUUAGGGUCAGGGUUAGGGUUAGGGUUAAGGUUAGGGGUUAGGGGUUAGGGUCAGGGUUAGGGUGGGGGUUAGGGUCAGGGAUAGGGCCAGGGGGGAUAGGGUUGGGGUUAGGGUUAGUCAAACAGUGCACAGUUUGUCUGGGGUGAGUCAGUGAAAGGGAAAGAAAUAUAAAAGGAAAGAAAGAAAAAGAGAAACAAUGUCAAUAAAGAAGAGAGGCAGCCCCGCUCUGCACCACAGUGAGGACAUUUCUCCCGUGUUAGUUUUUUUUUCUGCCUUUUUUGUUUCAUUUGAAUUACAAAAGCCCCCCCCCCACAAGAACAACAGGUCCCGAGUCAAAGAGCAUCACCCCGGUGUGCAGGGGUUAGGGUUAGGGUUAGGGGUUAGGGUCUGCAGGGGUGGUCGGCGGCCCCCGGGCUACAGACCACCGCAUGAGAUCCCGGCCGCUGCAUGGAGUACAGACCACCUCAUGAGUUGGUCUGUCUGGAGUACAGACCACCUCAUGAGGUCCAGGCCGCUGCAUGGAGUACAGACCACCUCAUGAGUUGGUCUGUCUGGAGUACAGACCACCUCAUGAGGUCCAGGCCACUGCAUGGAGUACAGACCCAACUUUGUGUUUGUAUAAAUACAUUUCUACAUUGAGUUGCUUCAAGUCAAGUCGUGAUCAUAGUUUUUAAAUAUAUAUAAUAUUCAUACAGAUAUAUAGUUAUAUCUAGAUCUAUAUUAUUAUCUUAUAUAGAUAUAUUUAGAUAUAUU
ensembl:lncRNA